rnacentral:lncRNA from 1 species
GAGUUAACUUGGAACUUAACAUCACUACUAACUUGAAUCAAUUACAUCAAAAUCCAACAAGGAAUGUUACUCAUCUAAAUUAAGCCCCCACUAUAACAGUCCAAACUAAACUCACAUGACAAGCAUAAAGUUUAAUACAACCCUAAAUAUAUGGUCAACAACACGAAUAAAUACGGUAGAUCAUAUAGUAAAACUAAUGUAAUGAAGAAAAUAGAGAUAGAUUCUAAAUAACAUCAGUUGAUACUAAUGUUUAAAUGUCUACAUUCGAUUACAUGCUUCAAGUUUGAGCUUCACAUUCAAUAAGGUCCAAGAGGCACCUAGAAGUAAAGAUAAAGCAAAAGAUGAGGAUUUCAGCAGUAAGCAGUAGCUCAGCAAAUCAACACAACCACUUUUAGCUUCCUUAAACCAGUUUUAGGACCCAGAUAGUUCAGAAAUCCCUUGAAACUCUUAAACUACUGCUAACAAUGAAACCAAAGAACAAUUCUUAGCAAUUUUAACCCAAAAAGAUGUAGAAACUUUGAAUACCUUUUCAGAGUAUGAAUUUUAUCUUUCUUAGAAGUUUAUGUGCAGAAAAAUGAGGCUUGAAAUCUGGUCUUGAGUGAAGGAAAUGCCGCCUCUUUAUAGGCUUAAAGAAAAUCCCAUGUGCUGAAACAGAAUUCGGAAUAUUUCUGAAACAAAUCAAUAUUACUAACUAACUUAUUGCUAACAAGACAAGUGAAAACAGAAUUAAACGAAACUAAAAAAAACUAAAUAAGAUAGUGGCCUAACGACAUUUUUUUUCUUUUUGUUUUCACAAACAUGAAUCAGAAAAAGAAAAGCGAAGAAAAGGUUGUACCUUCAAGUUCUUUUCACGAUCCAAGCACGAGAUCCAAAUGAUUGUUCUUGACAAAGAAUAAUUAUUUGGGGUGGGUUUCGGACUAUCGAAUAGAAUAAAAUCAUGGAGGAGUGACCAUGCCAGAACCAGUGUUCCUUUUUUAUUUAUUUUCAGAUUCGAUUUUUGUCUGGUUUCAGGCGUAUUUGGGGGAAAUAACUCAUGGAUUUGGAAAGGAGGGGUGAAGGUGGUUGUGUGGUAAAAAUCUGAAGGUGUUUGGAGAGAUUAGAGUUUGGGGACUCCGGUCUUCGAUCUAAAACUAGAAGGGCUCGAUGAUGAUUUGAAGGAAGCAGGUUGGAGAUUUGGGAUGAGGGGAUGAAAGAGAUUCUGGGGUGUUAAGUUGAAGGGGAUUGGAAUGGUUUACGCCAUCGUUGUCGGCCGGUGGGGGGUUUGGGAAUUUAGGGCGGCUAGGGUUUGGGUUCUUAGAAAUUGGGAGAUGAAACGAGGCAGAUGGAACUGGGGGGAGGGGAGUCCAAUUCGGACAUAUGUAUAUUAACCAAGUGCGA